rnacentral:rRNA from 1 species
AUUGAACGCUGGCGGCAUGCCUUACACAUGCAAGUCGAACGGCAGCGGACCUUCGGGUGCCGGCGAGUGGCGAACGGGUGAGUAAUAUAUCGGAACGUACCUUUCAGUGGGGGAUAACGUAGCGAAAGUUACGCUAAUACCGCAUAUUCUGUGAGCAGGAAAGCAGGGGAUCGCAAGACCUUGCGCUGAUUGAGCGGCCGAUAUCAGAUUAGCUAGUUGGUGAGGUAAAGGCUCACCAAGGCGACGAUCUGUAGCGGGUCUGAGGAGGAUGAUCCGCCACACUGGAACUGAGACGACGGUCCAGACUCCGUACGGGAGGCAGCAGGUAGGGGUAAG